rnacentral:rRNA from 1 species
UAGGGAAUAUUGCGCAAUGGGCGAAAGCCUGACGCAGCGACGCCGCGUGGGUGAUGAAGCUCUUUGGAGUGUAAACCCUUUCAGCAGGGAAGAACCGCAUACGGAGUAACUGCCGUAUGCCUGACGGUACCUGCAGAAGAAGCUCCGGCCAACUCCGUGCCAGCAGCCGCGGUAAUACGGGGGGAGCGAGCGUUGUUCGGAUUUACUGGGCGUAAAGGGCGCGUAGGUGGGUCUUCAAGUCAAAUGUGAAAACCGACGGCUUAACCAUCGGCCUGCAUUUGAUACUGUCGAUCUUGAGUACGGGAGAGGAAAGCGGAAUUCCUGGUGUAGCGGUGAAAUGCGUAGAUAUCAGGAGGAACACCGGUGGCGAAGGCGGCUUUCUGGCCCGAUACUGACACUGAGGCGCGAAGGCCGGGGGAGCAAACAG